rnacentral:tRNA from 1 species
UCGGGUGUGGUGUAGCGGUAACAUCGUUGACUCUCACUGCUCAGUCAGUGAUAAGUGCUCAACAGCCCCGGGUUCGACUCCCGGCAUCCGAG